rnacentral:rRNA from 1 species
UACGUAGGGCGCAAGCGUUGUCCGGAAUUAUUGGGCGUAAAGAGCUCGUAGGCGGCUUGUCGCGUCGGAUGUGAAAGCCCGGGGCUUAACCCCGGGUCUGCAUUCGAUACGGGCAGGCUAGAGUUCGGUAGGGGAGAUCGGAAUUCCUGGUGUAGCGGUGAAAUGCGCAGAUAUCAGGAGGAACACCGAUGGCGAAGGCAGGUCUCUGGGCCACUACUGACGCUGAGAAGCGAAAGCAUGGGGAGCGAACAGG